rnacentral:tmRNA from 1 species
AUUAAAAAUUAUCUAAGCAUGUAGACGGAAUACGGUUUCCAUAGCUGGACGCGGGUUCGAAUCCCGCCGACUCCACAU